GGGGAAAACCCUGACGCAGCGACGCCGCGUGAGCGAAGAAGGCUUUAUUAGUCGUAAAGCUCUGUAGGGAGGGAAGAACCGCAGGUGGUAACGCAUCUGUCUGACGGUACCUCCAAAGUAAGGACCGGCUAAAUACGUGCCAGCAGCCGCGGUAAUACGUAUGGUCCGAGCGUUGUCCGGAAUUACUGGGCAUAAAGGGUGCGUAGGCGGAUGUGUAAGUCAGGUGUGAAAGCCCUCGGCUCAACCGGGGGAAUUGCGCUUGAAACUGCACGUCUAGAGCAUGUCAGAGGCAGGCGGAAUUCCCGGAGUAGCAGUGAAAUGCGUAGAUAUCGGGAAGAACACCGGUGGCGAAGGCGGCCUGCUGGGACAGUGCUGACGCUGAGGCACGAAAGCGUGGGGAGCGAACGGGAUUAGAUACCCCGGUAGUCCACGCCGUAAACGAUGGAUACUAGAUGUUGGACACGCUGAAGUGUUCAGUGUCGAAACAAAUGCGAUAAGUAUCCCGCCUGGGGAGUACGACCGCAAGGUUUAAACUCAAAGGAAUUGACGGGGGCCCGCACAAGCGGUGGAGCAUGUGGUUUAAUUCGAUGCAACGCGAAGAACCUUACCCGGAUUUGACAUCCUUCGGACCGUCUCUGGAGACAGAGACUUUCUCUUCGGAGACCGAAGUGACAGGUGCUGCAUGGCUGUCGUCAGCUCGUGUUGUGAAAUGUUGGGUUAAGUCCCGCAACGAGCGCAACCCUUGUUCUUAGUUGCCAGCAUUAAGAUGGGCACUCUAAGAAGACUGCCGAGGUUAACUCGGAGGAAGGUGGGGAUGACGUCAAGUCCUCAUGGCCCUUAUGUCCGGGGCUACACACGUGCUACAAUGGUAUAGACAGAGGGAAGCUACGCCGCAAGGCCACGCGGAUCCUCAAACUGUAUCACAGUUCGGAUCGGGGUCUGCAACUCGACCUCGUGAAGGUGGAAUCGCUAGUAAUCGCGGAUCAGCAUGCCGCGGUGAAUAAGUUCNCCGGGCCUUGUACACACCGCCCGUCACACCAUGGAAGUUGUCUUCACUGGAAGAUGCUGAGCCAGCCAGGCAGG
rnacentral:rRNA from 1 species